rnacentral:rRNA from 1 species
UGGGGAAUAUUGCACAAUGGGCGCAAGCCUGAUGCAGCGACGCCGCGUGGGGGAUGACGGCCUUCGGGUUGUAAACUCCUUUCGCCAGGGACGAAGCGUUUUGUGACGGUACCUGGAGAAGAAGCACCGGCUAACUACGUGCCAGCAGCCGCGGUAAUACGUAGGGUGCAAGCGUUGUCCGGAAUUACCUGGGCGUAAAGAGCUCGUAGGUGGUUUGUCACGUCGUCUGUGAAAUUCCACAGCUUAACUGUGGGCGUGCAGGCGAUACGGGCUGACUUGAGUACUGUAGGGGUAACUGGAAUUCCUGGUGUAGCGGUGAAAUGCGCAGAUAUCAGGAGGAACACCGAUGGCGAAGGCAGGUUACUGGGCAGUUACUGACGCUGAGGAGCGAAAGCAUGGGUAGCAAACAGGAUUAGAUACCCUGGUAGUCCAUGCCGUAAACGGUGGGCGCUAGGUGUAGGGGCCUUUUGGGGUUUCUGUGCCGUAGCUAACGCAUUAAGCGCCCCGCCUGGGGAGUACGGCCGCAAGGCUA